UUUAAUCGCGGUGCAGAGACAAAUAGCAGCUUCAAGAUCGACAAGGCCUUCGAGGAGACUACAGCAUGGCAGCUUAGGUGGAGUUCCAAUGACCGUCCCGAUCAAGCCACCUAGAACCUUGGCACACACUCCCAACUUGAGUGCAUCUCUAGGGCAGCUUGCUGGUGGAGUGAUGGGGUGGUGGUGAGGUGGUGGCGGUGGGCAAAGUGGCUUCGGGGGUGUUGGUGUAGGUGUUGGAGUUGGUGGUGGUGGUGGAGGGCUCUUCGGCUUCGGUGUAGGUGGUGGUGGUGGAGGGCUUUUCGGCUUCGGUGUAGGUGGUGGAGGGCAGCUAGGUUUCGGCAUUGGGGGUGGGGGGCAUUUAGGUUUCGGCAUUGGUGGUGGUGGGCAUGGAGUGUGAUGAGUUGAAGUUACUAAAGUGAGGAAGAGAAGGUUAAGGACUAGGAAGAAAGAUGUGGAUGCUAAUGCCUUUGAAGCCAUGCUGCAGAGACUUCUUUGCUAUGUUAGGAGAGGAGAGAUUCUUGG
rnacentral:lncRNA from 1 species